UUCCGAUUCGGGCAAAAUUCCACUUGGUGCCCCCAACACCCCCAAAGCUUGAAAGCCCAAGCCCUCCUUCCCCCAAAAUCUACAAUCUCUCGCCCUUCGACCGCCUCAAUUCCUCUCUCACACACCCACACACUCUCUCCUUCUCUCUCGUUGGCUCGCUGGAAUUGUGAAUGCAGAGCCCUGUCUUCCGAUGACCUAGUACCCCCGGCGCCGGAGCAUCCACCGGCCGUCGACAACGGGCGACGAUUCCAAUUCCGAGUCUCUGGGACUUGUAUAGGGUUUUCGUAGCUGCUUGUGCGAUUCGAUUGCGACGAUUCAAUUAGGGUUUUUGCUUUUGUUUUCUAAGAUUGCGGCGCCCACGCCAUGGCUCCGGGGCGUAGACGCGGAGCGAACAAGGCCAAGGAUAAGAGCCAGUUGAGUCUCGGCGAUCUUGUUCUUGCUAAGGUCAAGGGCUUCCCCUAUUGGCCCGCCAAGAUUAGCAGGCCUGAAGAUUGGAAGAAGGUCCCUGAUCCGAAGAAAUAUUUUGUCCAAUUUUUUGGAACGGAAGAGAUAUCACAGAAAGGUGAAAUUGACAAUUUUUUUGGAACGGAAGAGAUAGCUUUUGUUGCCCCUGCAGAUAUUCAGGCAUUCACUAGUGAGGCAAAAAGCAAAUUAUUAGGUCGUUGUCAUGCUAAAACUAAGAAUUUUUCCCAAGCUGUGAAGGACAUAUGUCAGGCAUUUGAUGAGUUACAAAAAAAGAAAUCAAAUGAUUUGAGAGUUGAUACUGAUAGAUCAGACCCCGGAUGUGAUGCUCCGUCUGGUGAUGGCGUAGAAGAUAAUGGGAUUGAUGUUGACUUAAGGGAUGGGGAGGGUGUACGGGAUUCCAAUGGACAAACAGACAAAGAAGAAGCCUCGGGUGAUAUUUGUCCUAAGCUGGAACGUUGUUCACAGUUACAAGGUGAAAAUGACAAUGAUGUUGUAAAUCCAUCUACCUUGUGUGGAGCAGAAGAGAGUUCUCCUGUUUUUUCUCCUGAGAGAAAAAAUAAAAUGGUGGCAGUUCCACCGCCUAAAAAAGAGGUAUUAAAGAAAUCUAAGCCAGAGAAGGAAGAAGUUUCUGGUAGUAAGCAUGAAGAAGAUGAUCGCACUAAGAAACACAGUGAUGGACAGAGGUCUGUAGCAAAUGGCCACAAGUUGUCAAAGAUGGUUACUGGAUCAAAGAGGAAACAUGAUGGCACAAUUGAGGAACAAAAAAAUCGUUCUGCUGUAACAUCAUCGAAGGAUGAUAGCUCUGUUGGUCUUGUUGAUCAGCCACAAUCUGGUGAGCGAUUGAAAGAUGGAGCAAAAGGCAAACUUGGCUCUGGUGGCAGGAAGAGGGAGUUCUCCCCAGAUGCUCAAAAAUCAGAUACUGGUACUAAGGUUGGGAAAAAGACAAAAGACCUGGUUAAAGCCAAUAAGCAAGUCAAGGUGCCAGAUGAUGUGAUGGAUGAUCCUGAGGAACAGGCCAGAGACAAACAUUCAGGAAGGACAAAGGGGUCUCAACCAGGGCUUGGAAAGCCUAAUUUGGUAACAAAUGGUCCUUCACUUCCUACCAAAAAGUCAAAACAUGUAGAUGCAGGGGAUAGUGGCCCAAAGGGUUCAGUAUCUAAAAUUGUGAAGAGUCUAUCUCCUAGUUCUGAUGUUGAUGACAAGACAUUAAAAAAAUUGGAUUCAAAUUUGUCAAAUUCACGUGUGAAAAGAGAGAACCAUCUAGUUUCCAGGUCCAAAAAUGUUAUUGGACCCAGUGGUCCUGGUGAUGAAGCUGUGCUACCCCUUACAAAGAGGCGCCGUCGAGCAUUGGAGGCUAUGUCUGAUUCUGAUGCUUUGGUCUCUGACGAUAAGAAGAAUGAUAUGUCAUGCUCAACUGAUGUCAGAGUUCCUACGCAGAGAAAACGGAGAGCUGUGUGCCUCUAUGAUGAUGAGGAGGAGGAGGAAAAACCCAAAACACCAGUUCAUGGAGGAUCUUCCCGAAAUACUAAAGCGCCUUCAUACUCUUCAGACGCUGUAAAGAGCACGAAUGAAUAUCAUGAGAGGUCAGAUACUGCUCAACAGAGUACCAAAUGUCCUACUGAAUUUCAAAUGGGCCGCACAAAGGAAUCAUCUUCCCAGUUAAAUGAUGGUUUUAUGUCACCUAGAAAACCUCACGUGGAUGAGGUGAGGCCGGAAAGGAAACCUCAAAUUGACAAAAAGAGUCUUGAAAAGGCAGCGCAUGUAUAUCACAGUCCAAAAAAAUCAGAACUUGGGCAGUUGCUGAAGGAGGAGAAACCAACUGUGAUUUCUCCUAAGAAGUCUCCCCAGUUAAUUUCUACCACUAAAUCAGUUGUGGAACAGCAGAAACCCACAAAAUCUAUUGUUAAAGUCUCUAGUACCGGUACUCAAAAGAAGGCUCAGGCUUUGUGUAGCAAGGGUUCAGGUUUAGUGUCUAACAGUUCGGUUUCUUCUCAUAAUCAGGCAAGAAACAAGCCUGCAUCUUCUGGAGAAAAGUCUAAACCUACUCCACGAUCAAUCUCUCAGAUCAACGACCCCGCUAUCUUAACAGAAAAUGCAACCGAGUACAUUUUAUUUUCUGGUGAAAGAAUGGAAGUUGGCAGAGAAGAUAAAAUUGGCUUAUCCAUGGAUUCUAGAACUCCAGAAUCAUCUCAGUCUAUGAGGCAUCUUAUUGCAGUCGCACAAGCAAAAAGGAAACAAGCUCAGUCGCAAAAUUUCUUUCUUGGAUUUUCCAAUCCAACUCUUGUAUCUAACUCAGAUAUGCAAGGGAGGAGCCCCAGCCCUUCUGCAGUUCAGGGGUUUUUUUCCAUUACCAACAGUACGUUGCAGGCAGAUAUCCCGGGAUCCAAUCAACUCACAAAUGUAGUUUCCCCGGCUGCUCAUGGUCGACAGUAUGUAUCACAAGUUCAACUUGAUUUAGAGGAAAUUUCAGAGAGAAGAGUUAGUUCUGGGCAUCGAACUGCUGGAGGAUCGCUUAGUGGUGGUACCGAGGCAGCUGUUGCUCGUGAUUCUUUUGAGGGAAUGAUUGAAACUUUGUCUAGGACUAAAGAAAGUAUUAGUCGUGCAACUCGUCUUGCCAUUGAUUGUGCCAAGUAUGGUAUUGCCAAUGAGGUUGUGGAACUACUAAUCCGGAAGUUGGAGAGCGAGCCUAGUGUCCAUCGUAAGGUUGAUCUUUUCUUUCUUGUGGAUUCCAUCACACAAAUCUCUCAUAAUCAAAAAGGCAUUGCGGGAGCUUCAUAUGUUCCGAUGGUUCAAGCAGCAUUGCCACGUCUUCUAGGUGCUGCCGCUCCACCUGGUUCUGGUGCUCGUGAUAAUCGUCGUCAAUGUCUUAAGGUUUUACGGCUGUGGAUAGAGAGAAAAAUCUUUCCUGAAUCUGUUCUUCGUCCUUACAUGGAUGACAUUGGAGUUUCAAAUGAUGAUUCAACUGCUGGUUACUCCUUUAGACGUCCAUCUCGAGCUGAGCGUGCCAUAGAUGAUCCAAUCAGAGAAAUGGAAGGAAUGUUUGUGGAUGAGUAUGGAAGUAAUGCUACAUUUCAGCUGCCUGGACUUCUGUCUUCUCAUGCGUUUGAAGAUGACGAUGAAGAAGAAGAAGAAGAACUUCCUAGCUGUUCAUAUAAGGAGACUAGCCAUCCCUCACCAAUGGAAACUACCCAUGCUUCUGGGGAGUCAGAAUCAUGUGUGGUGACUCCUAAUGAUAGGCGACAUUGCAUCUUGGAGGAUGUAGAUGGUGAACUUGAAAUGGAGGAUGUUUCUGGACACCCAAAGGAAGAAAGACCCUUGUUUAUUAAUGGUUCUUUUGAAAUGGAUCCACAACAGCAGGGAUCAGAUAGGGUCAUGGAGCCAGCUUCAAUUGCUUGCACUGAUUUGCCCCCUCUUCCAGAGGGUUCUCCACCAUUGCCUCUUGAUUCUCCUCCUGCACCCCCACCUUUGCCUCCCUCACCUCCACCACCCCCACCACCACCUCCGUUAUCUCCAUCACCACCACCACCACCACCUCCCCCAUCACAGCCACCUCCUCCCCUACCAUCUUCUGGUCAUCAACCAUUGUUGAUUCCCCAGUCAUCUAUACCAACACAGGCUUCAUUACUACCGCAACAGAUGCUGCCUCUGCAAUCAUCAAUGCAUCCUUCACCGCAGGUGGCAUAUCAACCUCCUAUACCUCAUGAAUACUGCAGCACAAGUGGUAACCAGCAUGUUCAAGUUUCUGGAAAUGCUCCUCAUGUUGGCCCUAUUGAUGCGACUGCCAAGAAGGAGAUGUUUCCGCAGCAGCAAGCUUGCUUUGUUCCUGCUGGAGUAUGUGGUCCUCGAGAACCUUCUGGAUUUAAUUCGACAAGGCCGCUAGAACAUGGACAUAAUGACCUGUUUCUAAGUGCACAAAUCUCUCAACCAAGCCAACCAUUUCAACAAGUUAAUACACCUUUCCCUCAAAGGCCUUUACCUCCUGCCCCACCACAAAAUCCGUCAAGUCAUUUCUCCUAUACUAAGCAACAUCCUCAGCAGCAUCCUCAACAACAUCCUCAGCAGCAUCCUCAACAACAUCCUCAGCAUCCUCAGCAGCAUCCUCAGCAACCAUACCACGGUUCAUACUCUUUGCCUCCCCCACCUGAUAGUCAAAGAAGAUUUGUUGCCGAUGAACAACGUGGUGUUUGGAUGAAUGGAGGAAGACCCCCACAUCCGGGACCACCAUUUGUCCAUGAAGGUUAUUUUCGCCCACCGCCUGAUAGGCCACAACCUAAUAAUAUUGCUUUUCAGCGUCCUGCCCCUAAUAAUGUUCCAACUGGAGCUCCAAUAUCAGGUCACAGUGCUUCCCAGAUCUUGCCAUGUAGACCAGACAUAUCUGCUGUUAAUUGUUGGAGACCAGCUUAGUAGUGAACCUUAGCUCUACAUAACUAUUCUUCAUUGACAGUGGCAUAUCAAUUAGUUACGUCAAAUUAUGCUGUGCUUGAAAGUUGGAUUCAUCUUGUUUGCAAAACCCAAGUACCACUUGAAGGCACUAUUGAGAACUUGUGGAGGCUCUUGGCAGGACUCUGUAUAUUGUAAUUUUUCCUGACAAAUGUAUCCUGAGAACAUUUGCUUCCAAGUGUAUGCCCACGUUUCUUUCUUGGUUUCGGAAAAAGAUUAAAACAGAAGCAGCAACCUCUGUUUUGGAGGGUUUAUUAUCUGGUCGCUCACAGAGGAAAGGGAAUCCACUUGGUAGCAGAUACACUGCUGUAAAACAUUCAGGUAAAUAUUUGACAUGGAUUUUUGGACCAGAAAAGGCUUGUAAUUAUUUAUUAGUUGAGUACAGUUUUGAUGCAACGGUAUCUGUUGCAGUGUAAAGGUAGUUCAUGCAGAUGCUUCAUAACUGUUGAAAGUUGUAUUUGACAGUUCCCUUCCCUUUCUUUUCAAUCAGUCGUUAUACAUUGCUUUCUAGCCACUGAUUUUUCUUUUAGUCUGUAAAGAUCCUAGUUUUCUUUCUUAGGGAUAGAAUUGGGUUUGAUUAUGUCCUUGUUGCUGUACCGUAGUACACCGGAGCAUUACAAAAUGAAAAGCGGUUCUCUGAAUGCACCAUUA